UCCCUGAUAGCUUAGUUGGUAAAGAGUCUGCCUGCAAUGCAGGAGACCCUGGUUCAAUCCCUGGAUUGGGAA
rnacentral:tRNA from 1 species